rnacentral:rRNA from 1 species
AAACCAACAGGGAUUGCCCCAGUAACGGCGAGUGAAGCGGCAAGAGCUCAAAUUUGAAAGCUGGCUCCUUCGGGGUCCGCAUUGUAAUUUGCAGAGGAUGCUUCGGGAGUGGCCCCCAUCUAAGUGCCCUGGAACGGGCUGUCAUAGAGGGUGAGAAUCCCGUCUGGGAUGGGGUGCCCACGCCCGUGUGAAGCUCCUUCGACGAGUCGAGUUGUUUGGGAAUGCAGCUCUAAAUGGGUGGUAAAUUUCAUCUAAAGCUAAAUAUUGGCCGGAGACCGAUAGCGCACAAGUAGAGUGAUCGAAAGAUGAAAAGCACUUUGAAAAGAGAGUUAAAAAGCACGUGAAAUUGUUGAAAGGGAAGCGUUUGCGACCAGACUCGCCUACGGGGUUCAGCCUGCCUUCGGGCCGGUGUACUUCCCCGUGGGCGGGCCAGCGUCGGUUUGGGCGGCCGGUCAAAGGCCCUCGGAAUGUAACGCCUCUCGGGGCGUCUUAUAGCCGAGGGUGCCAUGCGGCCUGCCCGGACCGAGGAACGCGCUUCGGCUCGGACGCUGGCUUAAUGGUCGUAAACGAC